rnacentral:rRNA from 1 species
GAUGAACGCUGGCGGCGUGCCUAAUACAUGCAAGUCGAGCGAAUGGAUUGAGAGCUUGCUCUUAUGAAGUUAGCGGCGGACGGGUGAGUAACACGUGGGUAACCUGCCCAUAAGACUGGGAUAACUCCGGGAAACCGGGGCUAAUACCGGAUAACAUUUUGAACCGCAUGGUUCGAAAUUGAGAGGCGGCUUCGGCUGUCACUUAUGGAUGGACCCGCGUCGCAUUAGCUAGUUGGUGAGGUAACGGCUCACCAAGGCAACGAUGCGUAGCCAGCCUGAGAGGGUGAUCGGGCACACUGGGACUGAGACACGGCCCAGACUCCUACGGGAGGCAGCAGUGGGGAAUCUUCCGCAAUGGACGAAAGUCUGACGGAGCAACGCCGCGUGAGUGAUGAAGGCUUUCGGGUCGUAAAACUCUGUUGUUAGGGAAGAACAAGUGCUAGUUGAAUAAGCUGGCACCUUGACGGUACCUAACCAGAAAGUCACGGCUAACUACGUGCCAGCAGCCGCAGUAA